AGUGAACGCUGGCGGUAGGCCUAACACAUGCAAGUCGAACGGCAGCACAGUAAGAGCUUGCUCUUACGGGUGGCGAGUGGCGGACGGGUGAGGAAUACAUCGGAAUCUACUUUUUCGUGGGGGAUAACGUAGGGAAACUUACGCUAAUACCGCAUACGACCUACGGGUGAAAGCAGGGGAUCUUCGGACCUUGCGCGAUUGAAUGAGCCGAUGUCGGAUUAGCUAGUUGGCGGGGUAAAGGCCCACCAAGGCGACGAUCCGUAGCUGGUCUGAGAGGAUGAUCAGCCACACGGGAACUGAGACACGGGCCAGAACCCUACGGGGGGCAGCAGGGGGAAAUAUUGGAAAAUGGGCGAAAGCCUGAUCCAGCCAUACCGGGGGGGUGAAGAAGGCCUUCGGGUGGUAAAGCCCUUUUGUUGGGAAAAAAAAGCAGCAGGUUAAUCCCCCGCUUUUCUGACGGUACCAAAAAAAAAAGCACCGGCUAACUUCGU
rnacentral:rRNA from 1 species